rnacentral:rRNA from 1 species
UACGGAGGGUGCGAGCGUUGUCCGGAAUCACUGGGCGUAAAGCGUGCGCAGGCGGUUCGUUGUGUCGGCGGUGAAAGCCCCGGGCUUAACCUGGGAAUGGCCGUUGAAACUGGCGAACUGGAGUGUGGCAGAGGGGGGUGGAAUUCCGCGUGUAGCGGUGAAAUGCGUAGAUAUCUGAAGGAACAUCAGUGGCGAAAGCGACUUCCUGGACCAAUACUGACGCUCAUGUGCGAAAGCGUGGGGAGCAAACAGG